AUACGGAGGACGCGAGCGUUAUCCGGAUUCAUUGGGUUUAAAGGGUGCGCAGGCGGCCGUGCAAGUCAGCGGUGAAAGCCCGGGGCUCAACCCCGGAAGUGCCGUUGAUACUGCAUGGCUGGAAUGCGGUCGAGGCGGGCGGAACGUGGCGGGGAGCGGGGGAAUGCGUAGAUAUGCCACAGAAAGCCGAUAGCGGAGGCAGCUCGCCAGGCCUGCAUUGACGCUCGGGCGCGAAAGCGUGGGGAUCGAACAGGAUUAGAUACCCUGGUAGUCCACGCCGUAAACGAUGGGCGCUCGUCGUCGGCGGCAGACAGUCGGCGGCCAAGCGAAAGCGAUAAGCGCCCCACCUGGGGAGUACGGUCGCAAGGCUGAAACUCAAAUGAAUUGGCGGGG
rnacentral:rRNA from 1 species